UCGGAAUCCGCAGCAGCUC
rnacentral:misc_RNA from 1 species